AUUAGGCUUGAAUUGGCUAAUUAGAAUUUUGUCGAAGUCCGGUUGAUAGGUGAGAUUUUGAUAUGAGGGUCGGAAUGGAAUUCCGACAGUUGCAGUAGCUCCGUUAUGUGAUUUUGGAUAUACUUAAAAAUUUUCAGAUCAUUCGAAGGUGUUUAGGUCGGGUUUUGGAUCACAUACAAGUUUCGAAAGUUUUAGUUCAACUUAGGCUUGAAUCCGUGGUAAUUUGAUGAUUUUGAUGUUUACUAUAGUGUUUUUAUGUUACGAGUGAGUUUGAAUGAAGUAAUAGAGCAUGUCUGUGCUUUUGGUUGAGGUCCCGAGUGCCUCAGGGUGAUUUCGGAUGGAUUACGG
rnacentral:lncRNA from 1 species